CCUACGGGUGGCAGCAGUGAGGAAUAUUGGUCAAUGGGCGCGAGCCUGAACCAGCCAAGUAGCGUGAAGGAUGACUGCCCUACGGGUUGUAAACUUCUUUUAUAAGGGAAUAAAGUGAGGCACGUGUGCCUUUUUGUAUGUACUUUAUGAAUAAGGAUCGGCUAACUCCGUGCCAGCAGCCGCGGUAAUACGGAGGAUCCGAGCGUUAUCCGGGUUUAUUGGGGUUAAAGGGGGCGUAGAUGGGUUGUUAAGUCAGUUGUGAAAGUCUGCGGCUCAACCGUAAAAUUGCAAUGGAUACUGGCAGUCUUGAGUACAGUAGAGGUAGGCGGAAUUCGUGGUGUAGCGGUGAAAUGCUUAGAUAUCACGAAGAACUCCGAUUGCGAAGGCAGCCUACUAGACUGCCACUGACACUGAGGCUCGAAAGUGUGGGUAUCAAACAGGAUUAGAUACCCUAGUAGUC
rnacentral:rRNA from 1 species